rnacentral:snRNA from 1 species
GAUACAGAUAUGGGCAUCAUGCC